ACCGAUGAUGAUUUUUGCUAAUCUGUGUG
rnacentral:snoRNA from 1 species